UACUAUACAUACAUAUGUAUAUAUAUAAUAUAUAUGUAUAUACAUGUAUAUAGUUAUUACUCAUAGCUCUAGAAUCCACAUAGUAAACACUGGGGAAUGAUGCCUUUGCUUUGCUUACAAUAUUCGCUCGCUGGGCAAAAUGCAAUUUCAUUGAGUCAGACAAGGCCAUGGAUAGGAGGGGAGAGCUGUCAGUUUUCCAGUUUUCUAGUUGGCGACCGCAGCCGAAGGUGUUGCAGCAAUUGAAUGUGUGAGACGUGGCGCAUUGUGGGAGUCGCCGCAGACAGCGAGAAGCCCGUCUGAGUCGAAACAUUUUAUUGAGCUUUAUUUUACUGUCUAGCGAUACCCUGUACUAAAUGCCAUUGCUUAAAAAGCGGGUAUAUUCGCGUAUAUUAUGGCUAGCAAAUAUGUAUAUAUGUACAUGCACACAUAUAUAUACAUACACAUAUAUGUAAAGGAUUGUAGACUUGACGAGUUGACGACUUUUAAAGUUAUUGUGUAGAGAUUCAUGAGAUUCAUCUCCAAUUCGAUAAGGGAAUGCAUUACAGAGUGAACUGGAGACCCAGGGUAGCUGUACGUUUAGCAAGUCAAGUGCAGAGCACUCUUACUUUUUUCUCUCCACACGUUGUUGGUCAUUUUUGCUGUUAUUGUUUUCUUCUCUUUCUUAUUUUUAUUGCUUUUUUUUUUGCGGCAUCAGCGUCGGCGAGACACUGCGAAACUGUGUGCGAACCUGAUGCCGGCGUCUGACUGGAUUUUCCAUUAUUUUGCUAUUUGUUGGAUUUUGGUUGGGCAUGCGAACGCCGCAGCGCCUCGGUGAGCAUAGUUUGCUUGCUAUGGGAGGCUCGCCAUGCAAUUCUUAUUGGAUUGGUUUGCUUCAGCCAUGAAAGACGCAAAGAGAGUGAGCGAGCAAGAGAGAGAGAGUCUCCAAUUUGCAGACGAAGUCGGUGUCUCCAAAAGAAAACUACGCAUAAUUUCUACAACUUUUAAUUAUGACAGCUAGAACGGUCAGUAGAAUAGAUACACAGACACACACACACACGCAUACAUAUAUGUACAUACAUACAUAUGUACAUAUACAUAUAAGACGUUGCAUUUAUAUGGCUAAAGCAACAUAUUUGCAUGGUGAAGUAACUGUGACAACUAAAACUACUUUAAAAUAAGGCACAGUGAAUACACGCUAUGAGCGCAACUAGAAGAAUUACUUAAUUCUUGAUAUACUUCAAAUAUUUUCAUUCAUAUCUAUUGUGCUUCGCGACCGUUUUGUAUGCGCGUCAUGUUUGCUGUAAUCUAACAUUGUGCGUGCCGCUCUUAUUGAGUCUUCACUGUAACGGCAAAUCUAAAGAAGGCCGUAGCCAUAAGAAUGUGGGUUGCAAAAACAAAACCUUAAGUGGUUUUUAAUCAAAACCAGUGAGUAUGUAUGUAUGUAUGUGUGUGUGUGUGUGUGUGUGUGUGUGUGUGUGUGUGUGAGGUGUUAUACUUAGUAAGCGCGUACUGGCAUAUUUAUGUAUGUAUGGUUGUACAUUCGUAUGCACGCCAGUGUAGAACAUCGCCCACACACACUUACACAUAUGCAUGCUCUCAUUCCCAUUUCCAUUCCCACUCGCGGCGCUGUUCCCAUUCCAAGUGACUUUUGGGUCGGCGGCUUGGCUGAAGCUUUUCACAGGUUUGGCCCGUUACGGUUCAGCGCUAACAGCUGGGCGUGCGCCUCUGCCUCUGCCUCUGUCUGCACGAGCGUGUGUCUGUGUGUGUGCGUGUGAACAACAUCAAUUAAUGAGACAAGAAACUCAAAUAAAGUUGGCAACUCUAGCGCUGUCGCUGUCGCAGUCGUUGGUCAGCAAUUACACAAAUUGAAAUGAAUAAACGCACGUGAAUCGCUGCGUGCGCUUGGGGGAUUUGGAUGCGCGUGACAAGCGGCAAAGUUUCAUGUGCGUGCAACAGGAGCGACCGACGACUGGUCACACCCAAAAUUUAAAAAGAAGAACCAACAAAUAUUCAGAUAUCGCUGCACGUGGCAAUCAUUGCGUGAAGGCGUCGCCUUUAUCGCCAUAUUGUCAACAGAAUCCAGUGGCACGCCCUUUGCGCCUUUCGCAGCUGCAAUCGGCGGAUAUGACGCUGAUCUAUAACGGAACUCGGCUUUCAGCUGGAUAUGCGGGCACACACACAUGCAUAUAAAAAGACAUUCAUAUCACUCGCACUCACACACACUCAUGCAUUUGCAAUCCACAUUGAUACGGUACAUAUUUAAAGAUAUGGCAGCACUUUAAACAGCGCCCAGCACCCGGCUAGGGGCGCUUUGUCGCCCUCUUAUCAUUGCUAUAAAUAUGUGAACACUCACUUCCAAUACAAUUGCCCAAGCAGCCUAUAAAUAUUAAAAAAAAAAAAAGAAGAAACACAUU